rnacentral:rRNA from 1 species
UGAGUACGAGAUGCUACGGCAUCGAAGCAGUCUAUGUCAUACUUCCAAGAAAAGCUUGCACUGUCAUAAACAAAGAAUGCCUGUACCAUAACCGACACAGGUGGGUAGGUAGAGUAUACUAAGGGGCGCGAGAUAACUCUCUCUAAGGAACUCGGCAAAAUGACUCCGUAACUUCGGGAGAAGGAGUGCCUUAUUUCUAAGGUUGCAAUAACAAGAUCCAAGCAACUGUUUACCAAAAACACGGGUCUCCGCUAAGUCGUAAGACGAUGUAUGGGGGCUGACGCCUGCCCAGUGCCAGAAGGUUAAAGAAGUUGGUUAGCAUUAGCGAAGCUGAUAACUGAAGCCCUGGUGAACGGCGGCCGUAACUAUAACGGUCCUAAGGUAGCGAAAUUCCUUGUCGGGUAAGUUCCGACCCGCACGAAAGGCGUAAUGAUUUGGAUACUGUCUCGGAGAGGGGCUCGGUGAAAUAGACUUGUCUGUGAAGAUGCGGACUACCUGCACCUGGACAGAAAGACCCUAUGAAGCUUUACUGUAACUUGAGAUUGAAAUUGGACUUUAUUUGCGCAGUAUAGGUGGGAGGCGUUGAGAAUAAUCUUGCGGGAUUGUUGGAGCCAUCAGUGAGAUACCACUCUUGUAAUGUUAGAUUUCUAACUUUGUAUCAUUAUCUGGUCAAAGAACAGUUUCAGGCGGGCAGUUUGACUGGGGCGGUCGCCUCCCAAAGGGUAACGGAGGCGCACAAAGGUUUCCUCUGAACGGGUAGAAAUCGUAUCUAGAGUGUAAAGGCAUAAGGAAGCUUGACUGUGAGACCUACAAGUCGAGCAGGGACGAAAGUCGGUCUUAGUGAUCUGACGGUGCUGAGUGGAAAGGCCGUCACUCAACGGAUAAAAGUUACUCUAGGAUAACAGGCUGAUCUCCCCCAAGAGUUCACAUCGACGGGGAGGUUUGGCACCUCGAUGUCGGCUCAUCGCAUCCUGGGGCGGUAGUCCGUCCCAAGGGUUGGGCUGUUCGCCCAUGAAAGCGGUACGCGAGCUGGGUUCAGAACGUCGUGAGACAGUUCGGUCAUAUCCGGUGUAGGCGUUAGAAUAUUGAGAGGAGCCUUCUCUAGUACGAGAGGACCGAGAAGGACAUACCUCUGGUGUACCAGUUAUCGUGCCAACGGUAAACGCUGGGUAGCUAUGUAUGGAGUGGAUAACCGCUGAAAGCAUCUAAGUGGGAAGCCCACCUCAAGAUAAG